GAUGUGUGGCGUUGCCGUGACGACCGGCAGCAGAGCGUCGACGUGCAGCUGCUCAGAGAGGAGACGAGACAGGAAGUGGAACAGGAAGUCAGGCUUCAGGUGGAUGAUCUGAUGAGGGCGGAGCUUAGAAACCUCAAACUGGUCGUGGAUAAAACAAAGGAGAAGAAGAAGACCAAGACAGGAAACAGAAAGAAAAAGAAGAAAACCAAGAAGAAGAAGGAGAAGAAGAAGAGAGACCUGACAGCAGACAGGUCACUGCAGUCUCUGUGUGAAGAGUUGAUUCUAGAAGGUUUCCUCAUCCAACCAAUGAACAUCAAGCUUUCAGACUACAUCGGU